GACGAACGCUGGCGGCGUGCUUAACACAUGCAAGUCGAACGGAAAGGCCCUGCUUUUGUGGGGUGCUCGAGUGGCGAACGGGUGAGUAACACGUGAGUAACCUGCCCUUGACUUUGGGAUAACUUCAGGAAACUGGGGCUAAUACCGGAUAGGAGCUCCUGCUGCAUGGUGGGGGUUGGAAAGUUUCGGCGGUUGGGGAUGGACUCGCGGCGUAUCAGCUUGUUGGUGGGGUAGUGGCUUACCAAGGCUUUGACGGGUAGCCGGCCUGAGAGGGUGACCGGCCACAUUGGGACUGAGAUACGGCCCAGACUCCUACGGGAGGCAGCAGUGGGGAAUAUUGCACAAUGGGCGGAAGCCUGAUGCAGCAACGCCGCGUGCGGGAUGACGGCCUUCGGGUUGUAAACCGCUUUCGCCUGUGACGAAGCGUGAGUGACGGUAAUGGGUAAAGAAGCACCGGCUAACUACGUG
rnacentral:rRNA from 1 species